rnacentral:tRNA from 1 species
GAGAGAGGCUUGAAGCAAUAAAAACUGCUAACUUUUAAGUCCAUAGUUAAAUUCUAUGGCUCACUCG